UGUUCGCUGGUUUCCCUCCUCCCCCGUGCGAGUCAUUCCUCUUCAUCCGCUUCUCCUGCCGGAUCCCCCUUCCUCGUUCUUCAUCUGCUUCUCCUGCCGGAUCCCCCUUCCUCGUUCUUCACCUGCUUCUUCCUCCGGGGAUCCUACUCCGGCAAUACACCGCCGCCCCUCGUGGCUAGUGUCUCCGUCGGCUUCUAGGGUUCCUUCAAGGUCUGCGGCGUCAAGGCUCCCGUGAAGGUCUGCGUCUUCUAGGGUUUCAUCAAGCUCGGCCUCGAAUUGGGCUUUGUCAAGUUCGUCGUCUUGAAGGUACACAAGACCGGCUGCUUGAGAGCAUAUGACUCUAACCAGUUGAGCUAGUGACCUUUAAUGAUUACAGCACAACACAACACCUCAAGAAACUCAAACGCCGAUCCGAAUGCUUUCAAUUCUAACACAAUUUCUUUCGACAAUAAAACGGGAACAAUUUUCAAAUUUGUUCAGCAUUUUGAGAAAACUCAAACAUAUUUAAACAUGCAAAUGAAUUUUGGAGAAGCGAACAUUUUUUAAAAACAGAACAUUUUUUAAACUAGUCAAAAAACUGAACAGGAACAAUUCCUAAAAAACAGGAACAUUUUUCAAAUUCCAAAACAAAAUUUGGAAACAUGAACAACUUUUGCACGCGAACAAAUUUGGAAUUUCCCAAACAUUUUUGAGAACAUGUAGGUUUUGGAAUUUGGGAACAAUUUUCUAAACUAUGAACGAAUUUUGAAUCUUGAGAACAAAUUUUGAAGCACGAACAUUUUUUGCAUUUUAAGAACAAAUUUUAAACUGAGAAUAAUUUUUUAAAAAUCCUGAACAAAUUUGGAAGCGUGAAUUUUUUUGAGUACGUGAACAAAAAAUAGAAAUCCGGUACAUUUUCUGAAUUUCAAAAGUUUUGAACAAUUUUGUGUAAUGAGAACAUUUUUUGAAUUUUAAGAACAUUUUUUCGAAAACUGAACAUUUUUUGAAAACAUGAACGUUUUGGAAUUUGUGAACAAUUUUUUAAAGCACAAACAUUUUUUGAAUCCUGAGAACAAAUUUCAAAGCACGAACAAAUUUUUAAAGCAUGAAUUGUUUUUGAAUCUUGAGAACAAUUUUUGAAACGGAGAACAAUUUUGAAAAAUCCCUAACAAAUUUGGAAGCGGGAAUUUUUUAGAAUACAUAAACAAAGAAUUGAAAUCCGGUACUUUUCUGAAUUUCAAAAGUUUUGAACUUUUUUGUGUAAUGAGAACAAUUUUAUAAUUUUGAGAACAUUUUUUUGAGAACUGAAUUUUUCUUGGAAACAUGAACAAAACUUGAAUAUUUUGAAAAAUAAAAUAAAAUAAGAGUAGAAAAUAAAAAGAAAUAAAAAACCAAAUAAAGAAAAUUGUUGAAAAGAGAAAUUAACUUGAAAAGGAAAACUGAAAGAAAACAAAAAAAUAAGGAAAAGAAAAGGAAAAAAAACAGAAAAAGGAAGAAGAAAAAACAGAAAAGAGUAAAAAAAAAGGGAAAAAAAACGGUUCAGGAACUUUCUAGAUGGUUCCCAAAACCAGUAAGAACCAGCUAGCAACGCUCUAGAAGGCGCCACGGUAGAACCAGAUCAAAGAAACAGAAACAUCCUCGACGAAACAGUAGAAACAAAGAUCCGCGCGGGAAAGAAGGGUCGCGGCCCAGAAAGCCCGCGAACGAACUCCCCUGUGCGAACUCUCGUCUAGUUGACGCAGACUGCGGCGUAUAGGAACUCCCAGUCGGCGCUACUAAAUACGCGGAAUAGAAGGUCCCAGUUUUAACCACAUACCAUCCAUGCCUGCGGGUACCUGGCCCAUUUGGCAGGGUUGGAUACGUUCACUCGCAGUUGGUUGAACCAGACCAGGCCAUCUGGGCCGUGCUACGCGGGCCGAGCCAAAAGAACGCAUUGUUAUACGUUGGUACUCUUUUAUUUCUUUCUUAUUUUUCUUCAUUUUCUUUGGGUUUUUUGCUUACCUUUUUUUGUCGGUUUUUAUUAUUUUCUUCCUUUACACACACGUCUUCUUAUUUCUCAGUCUAUGUACAUUUUUAUCAUCACUUCAGAUAUUUUUAAAAUACAUGAUGUAUAUUUUUUAAAAUACAUGUUUUGAACACUUUUUUGAAUUCAUAAUAACAUUUUUCUAUAUACACGUUGUACAUCUUUUAAAUGGAACUAAACAUAUUUUAACCUACAGGGUCAUUUUUAUUACAUUGUAUAAACUUUUUUUCAAACGUGUUGACUUUUUAUUUUUGAAUCACCAGAAUUUUUAUUUAGGAUUUCACGAAAAAAAUUGAAUUGCUGAAAUUUUUCUUUAAAAUGUGAUGCACAUUUUUUUAAUGGUAUGAAACAUUUUUUUAAAGUAUGCAAAUAUUUUUCAAUUUUUUUAAUAAAAUAUCAGAAAACAUUUUGGAAACUCGUGAACAUUUUAUUUAAAUGGUAUGUGUAUUUUUGGUAUGUAUGACUUUUUGUUUAAUUACUCAGACAUUAUUUUACACUAGCAAAAAGGCCCGUGCGUUGCAAUUGGAGAAAAAAAUACCACACGCUUUUAAUUAAAAAAAUGGUCUAUAAUCUGAUAAUUUGUUGCUACGGCCCAAACAAAGAUGGUAUUAGCCUACAAAAACGCAGUUCAAGAUUCCACAGCUAUUCUAUUUCGACACGACUUGCACAUAGAUUUAAUCCGUACAAAGAAAUGGGCAAGUGAUCAUGCAUUUAUUCAUGUUAUGUGUGAAAUGGGGUAUUGUUAUGGGCCGGUAAAGGAAAACGACAAAAAUAGACGAUGACACAUUAGCACACAACGGAGACGCGUGUAUCAAGGGCGGUUUUCAGUUUAAGCAUCACUAACUUAGGGUAACUCUUGAACACAUUUUUUCACAUGCAUAUUUCUUAAAUACAUGAAGAGUUGUUAAAAA